CCUACGGGCGGCAGCAGUGAGGAAUAUUGGUCAAUGGGCGCGAGCCUGAACCAGCCAAGUCGCGUGAGGGAAGACGGCCCUACGGGUUGUAAACCUCUUUUGCCGGGGAGCAACGGGCGCCACGUGUGCCGCCACGGAGAGUACCCGCAGAAAAAGCAUCGGCUAACUCCGUGCCAGCAGCCGCGGUAAUACGGAGGAUGCGAGCGUUAUCCGGAUUUAUUGGGUUUAAGGGGUGCGUAGGCGGAGCGUUAAGUCAGUGGUCAAAUGUCGGGGCUCAACCCCUUCCCGCCAUUGAAACUGGCGCUCUUGAGUGGAAGAGAAGUAUGCGGAAUGCGUGGUGUAGCGGUGAAAUGCAUAGAGAUCACGCAGAACCCCGAUUGCGAAGGCAGCAUGCCGGCUUCCGACUGACGCUGAAGCACGAAAGCGUGGGGAUCGAACAGGAUUAGAUACCCGGGUAGUC
rnacentral:rRNA from 1 species